rnacentral:tmRNA from 1 species
GGGGGUGAUCGGUUUCGACUUCGGUAGCCGUAUCAGGGGAAGCGGGUCGAGGGUUGCGUUUGUGACCUCGUAAAUCCUGCAUUCGCAUAAAUAUCAAGUGCCAAUUCCAAGCGCACUGAGUUCGCUCUCGCUGCCUAAGCGAUAGCGACUCUGUCGGCCUGGGCCCGUCCUCGGCCCAGUGUCCGGCAUCGUUCAGAGGACUCACCACCCGGAUCGGGCCACGAGGCCCGGGUGGGACAUCUCCGUGGCUGGGCCCGUCAGUGAACUGUUCGUGGUAGCACUGGGGCCGAGUAGAACGACAGCACGGACUGCACCCGGAGAAGCCCUGGUGCGUUGCUGAAGGACGCGGGUUCGAUUCCCGCCACCUCCACCC